UUCUUAAUGUGGCCAAAGACAGUUGCAAGCCUGUAAACACAGAGCAAGAA
rnacentral:ribozyme from 2 species